AGAGUUUGAUCCUGGCUCAGAACGAACGCUGGCGGCAGGCCUAACACAUGCAAGUCGAGCGCACCUUCGGGUGAGCGGCGGACGGGUUAGUAACGCGUGGGAAUAUACCCAGUUCUAAGGAAUAGCCUCUGGAAACGGAGAGUAAUACCUUAUACGCCCUUCGGGGGAAAGAUUUAUCGGAAUUGGAUUAGCCCGCGUUAGAUUAGAUAGUUGGUGAGGUAACGGCUCACCAAGUCUACGAUCUAUAGCUGGUUUGAGAGGAUGAUCAGCAACACUGGGACUGAGACACGGCCCAGACUCCUACGGGAGGCAGCAGUGGGGAAUCUUAGACAAUGGGCGCAAGCCUGAUCUAGCGAUGCCGCGUGAGUGAUGAAGGCCUUAGGGUCGUAAAACUCUUUCGCCAGGGAUGAUAAUGACAGUACCUGGUAAAGAAACCCCGGCUAACUCCGUGCCAGCAGCCGCGGUAAU
rnacentral:rRNA from 1 species